GACGAGGGACCUAGCGUUGUUCGGAAUCAUUGGGCGUAAAGAGUAUGUAGGCGGCCUUGUAAGUCAGUUGUGAAAGCCCCGGGCUCAACCCGGGAAGUGCAAUUGAUACUGCUUGGCUUGAAUGUGGAAGAGGGCAGUAGAAUUCCAGGUGUAGUGGUGAAAUACGUAGAUAUCUGGAGGAAUACCGGUGGCGAAGGCGGCUGCCUGGUCCUACAUUGACGCUGGAGAUACGAAAGCGUGGGGAGCAAACAGG
rnacentral:rRNA from 1 species